UACGGAGGGUGCGAGCGUUGCCCGGAAUCACUGGGCGUAAAGGGCGCGUAGGCGGCCUGAUAAGUAGGGGGUGAAAUCCUGCGGCUUAACCGCAGGGCUGCCUUCUAAACUGUCAGGCUAGAGCACGGUAGAGGCAGAUGGAAUUCCCGGUGUAGCGGUGGAAUGCGUAGAGAUCGGGAAGAACAUCAGUGGCGAAGGCGGUCUGCUGGGCCGUUGCUGACGCUGAGGCGCGACAGCGUGGGGAGCAAACAGG
rnacentral:rRNA from 1 species